rnacentral:rRNA from 1 species
UACGUAGGGGGCUAGCGUUGUCCGGAAUCAUUGGGCGUAAAGCGCGUGUAGGCGGUCCGGUAAGUCCGCUGUGAAAGUCGGGGGGCUCAACCCUCGAAUGCCGGUGGAUACUGUCGGGCUAGAGUGCGGAAGAGGCGAGUGGAAUUCCUGGUGUAGCGGUGAAAUGCGUAGAUAUCGGGAGGAACACCUGUGGCGAAAGCGGCGCACUGGACCAUAACUGACGCUGGAUGCGCGAAAGCUAGGGGAGCAAACAGG